AAGGACACUAACCUGAGACCGAUGGCUUCUGUCUGAGAAAGCACAAUAUAGGACAUCGAUAGAAGUAAACACACAGGAGCUAGUUAAUGCAGAGGGCACAACAGCUGCCUUGACACCCUAAGGAUCUGGGUUUACAGCCAGCUGAGCUCAUUGCUUCAAGGAGUCUAAGGCCCAGGAGACCCACUGAGGUUGAUGACAACAGAGUAAAGGCAUCGAUCUAAUCAAACCCAUGUUACACGACAUGAGAGAGAGCAGAAACAUCGAACAUCCAUCAUUCAAGCGUUCACGACCACCUGAAGAAGCUGAGAUAGAUCACAUGCACACAUGAGCGUGAGAGAGAGAAAAGGAAGAAAGAACAUGUAGAAUCUGGAGCACGCAUGCAUGUUCCCAAUGUAUUUCAGGACAACCUGGCCGAGGUCUCCAACUGCAGCUGCCAUCCAGGUUCUGGUUUCUCUUGAGCAGCAUCAUAGAGUUGGCCCAAUAAAAACAUUUUAGG